UGUGCAGCGGUGAUACAGGAUUAUGUAU
rnacentral:piRNA from 1 species